GGACUACUGGGGUUUCUAAUCCCGUUCGCUACCCUAGCUUUCGAGUCUGAGUGUCAGGAGCAAACCAGGGGGCCGCUUUCGCCACAGGUGUUCCUGCCGAUAUCUACGCAUUUCACCACUACACCGGCAAUUCCACCCCCCUCUUUUGCCCUCAAGCUUUGCAGUAUUGAAUGACCCCUCCCGGUUAAGCCGGGAAAUUUCACAUCCAACUUACAUAGCCACCUGCACUCGCUUUACGCCCAGUGAAUCCGGAUAACGCUCGCCACCUACGUUUUACCGCGGCUGCUGGCACGUAGUUAGCCGACACUUCUUCCGGGCUUACCGUCCUUGCUCUUCAGCCCUAAAAGCCCUUUACGACCCGAAGGCCUUCCUCGGGCACGCGGCGUUGCUGCGUCAGGCU
rnacentral:misc_RNA from 1 species